rnacentral:lncRNA from 1 species
GGGAAAUCCUGUUGACCGUCGACGGAACCUCGCUGAGAAACACAAAAAGGCAGACCUGGGGGAGGAGAGGACGGAGAGUUAGAGGGAAGCAGGUCAUAUGUGAAUGGAGGGAGGAGGGAAGCAGGUCAUAUGUGAUGGAUGGAGGAGGGAAGCAGGUCAUAUGUGAUGGAGGAGGGAAGCAGGUCAUAUUGAUGGAUGGAGGGAGGAGGGUUAGAGGGAAGCAGGUCAUAUGUGAUGGAGGGAGGAGGGUUAGAGGGAAGCAGGUCAUAUGUGAUGGAGGGAGGAGGGUUAGAGGGAAGCAGGUCAUAUGGAUGGAUGGAGGGGGAGGGUUAGAGGGAAGCAGGUCAUUGAUGGACGGAGGAGGGUUAGAGGGAAGCAGGUCAUAUGUGAUGGAGGGAGGAGGUUAGAGGGAAGCAGGUCAUAUGUGAUGGAGGAGGAGGGUUAGAGGGAAGGCAGGUCAUAUGUGAUGGAGGAAGGAGGGUUAGAGGGAAGCAGGUCAUAUGUGAUGGAGGGAGGAGGGUUAGAGUGAAGCUGGCCAUAUGUGAUGGAUUACAGUAGUGUGUGACUCACGGGGGUCGUUGGAGCGGUGGGGUCCUUCUUCCUCCUACCACUCUUGGCCAUCCCCUUGGGGGGACGUACCCCCUCAUGUCCCUCUCAUAACGCACCUUGUCGUUCUCGCCAUGUCCCUCAAAACGACGCUUGUCAAUCGCAGUGGAAGCCUACACACAGUUAAAAACACACUACAUUAUAUAUAUAUACUAUUACACACAAACACAGUUAUAAUAUUACACACAAACACAGUUAUAAACACACUACAUUAAUACAUUUAACAUAUUACAU